UACGAAGGGGGCUAGCGUUGCUCGGAAUCACUGGGCGUAAAGGGUGCGUAGGCGGGUCUUUAAGUCAGGGGUGAAAUCCUGGAGCUCAACUCCAGAACUGCCUUUGAUACUGAAGAUCUUGAGUUCGGGAGAGGUGAGUGGAACUGCGAGUGUAGAGGUGAAAAUUCUUAGAUAUUCGCAAGAACACCAGUGGCGAAGGCGGCUCACUGGCCCGAUACUGACGCUGAGGCACGAAAAGCGUGGGGGAGCAAACAGG
rnacentral:rRNA from 1 species